GACGAACGCUGGCGGCGCGCCUAACACAUGCAAGUCGAACGGAGCUUAGAGAGCUUGCUUUUUAAGCUUAGUGGCGAACGGGUGAGUAACGCGUGAGUAACCUGCCCUAGAGUGGGGGACAACAGUUGGAAACGACUGCUAAUACCGCAUAAGCCCACGGUGCCGCAUGACACUGAGGGAAAAGGAUUUAUUCGCUUUAGGAUGGACUCGCGUCCAAUUAGCUAGUUGGUGAGGUAACGGCCCACCAAGGCGACGAUUGGUAGCCGGACUGAGAGGUUGAACGGCCACAUUGGGACUGAGACACGGCCCAGACUCCUACGGGAGGCAGCAGUGGGGGAUAUUGCACAAUGGGGGAAACCCUGAUGCAGCGACGCCGCGUGGAGGAAGAAGGUUUUCGGAUUGUAAACUCCUGUCGUUAGGGACGAUAAUGACGGUACCUAACAAGAAAGCACCGGCUAACUACGUGCCAGCAGCCGCGGUAAAACGUAGGGUGCAAGCGUUGUCCGGAAUUACUGGGUGUAAAGGGAGCGCAGGCGGGAAGACAAGUUGGAAGUGAAAACCAUGGGCUCAACCCAUGAAUUGCUUUCAAAACUGUUUUUCUUGAGUAGUGCAGAGGUAGAUGGAAUUCCCGGUGUAGCGGUGGAAUGCGUAGAUAUCGGGAGGAACACCAGUGGCGAAGGCGGCCUACUGGGCACCAACUGACGCUGAGGCUCGAAAGCAUGGGUAGCAAACAGGAUUAGAUACCCUGGUAGUCCAUGCCGUAAACGA
rnacentral:rRNA from 1 species